rnacentral:rRNA from 1 species
UACGUAGGGUGCAAGCGUUAAUCGGAAUUACUGGGCGUAAAGCGUGCGCAGGCGGUUGUGCAAGACCGAUGUGAAAUCCCCGGGCUUAACCUGGGAAUGGCAUUGGUGACUGCACGGCUAGAGUGUGUCAGAGGGGGGUAGAAUUCCACGUGUAGCAGUGAAAUGCGUAGAGAUGUGGAGGAUACCGAUGGCGAAGGCAGCCCCCUGGGGAUAACACUG